UACGAAGGAUGCAAGAGUUGUCCGGUUUUAUUGGGUUUAAAGGGUGGGUAGGCGGCCUAUUAAGUUAGUGGUGAAAACGUUCGCCUUCACCGGAUACCCGCCAUUGAUACUGAUAGACUUGAGUGCGACAGAGGGUGUUGGAAUGUGUGGUGUAGCGGUGAAAUGCUUAGAUAUCACGCAGAACACCAAUUGCGAAGGCAGAUGCCUAUGUCGUAACUGACGCUGAGGAACGAAAGCGUGGGGAGCAAACAGG
rnacentral:rRNA from 1 species